AAAACACAGCGGCUGCCGCCCGCGACACGCUCCGCCUCCUUCCACUCCCUCGCCACCACCACGCACCACCACCUCUGCUCUGCUGUGUGUGUGCCUAACGGGUCGGAGGCGGGGACGGCCCCACCGCCCCGAGCUCCCAACCGCCGACAGUCUCCGGCGGCUCCAACUUCAAUACCUCCCUCCUCGGCAUGCCGGUUGCCGUCGCGUUGGCGGCGGCCGCCGCGCUCGUCGUCCUGCUCGUCCUGUCCGCGGUGGCCGCCGCCGUUUUCUUCGCGCGCACGCGGGGCGCCAGGCCGCCCUCGCUGUCGCGCGUCGAGCACGCGCCGUCGUCCGCCUCCGGCUCCUCCCGCGCCGCGUCGUCCGCGCGCAAGGAGAAGGUCGGCGCGGACCAGGUCGCCGAGCCGGGCGCCGCCUCCUCUGGCGUGGCCAGCUCUUCCGCGGCCGCGAGCUCCCUCGAGUCGCCGGUGAAGAGGAAGGCGGAAGCGGUCAGGGUCGGCGGCGGCGGCGGCGGGGCCGCCGCGGGGGUGGAGAUGGAGGUUGGGUGGGGGAGGUGGUACGACCUGACGGAGCUGGAGAUCGCCACGGGCGGGUUCUGCCCAGCGAACGUGGUCGGGGAGGGAGGCUACGGCACCGUGUACCGCGGCAUCCUUGCCGGCGGCGAGGUCGUCGCGGUCAAGGACUUGUUUGAUCACAAGGGCCAGGCCGAGAAGGAAUUCAAGGUGGAGGUUGAAGCCAUCGGCAAAGUGAGGCACAAGCACCUUGUCGGUCUCAUCGGGUACUGCGCAGAAGGUCCAAAACGGAUGCUCCUUUACGAGUUCGUCGAAAAUGGCAACUUGGAGCAGUGGCUGCACGGCGACGUCGGACCGGUCAGCCCUCUGACCUGGGAAAUACGGAUGAAGAUCGCCGUCGGAACGGCCAAAGGCAUAGCGUACCUGCACGAAGGCCUGGAGCCGAAGGUGGUGCACCGCGACAUCAAGUCGAGCAACAUCCUGCUGGACAAGAGAUGGAACCCCAAGGUGUCGGACUUCGGCAUGGCCAAGGUGCUGGGGCCCGGGUCCAGCUACGUGACGACCCGCGUGAUGGGCACGUUCGGGUACGUGGCCCCCGAGUACGCGUCGACGGGCAUGCUGAACGAGAGCAGCGACGUCUACAGCUUCGGCGUGCUGCUCAUGGAGCUCAUCUCCGGGCGGAGCCCCGUGGACUACAACCGGCCGGCCGGCGAGGUGAACCUGGUGGAGUGGUUCAGGGCCAUGGUGGGCGCCCGGCGCGUGGAGGACCUGGUGGACCCGCGGAUCCCCGCGCCGCCGCCGCCUCCGCGGGUGCUCAACCGGGUGCUGCUCGUCUGCCUCCGAUGCAUCGACGCCGACGCGCACAAGCGGCCCCGGAUGGGGCAGAUCGUGCACAUGCUCGAGGGUGACGAGUUCCCCUUCCGCACGGAGCACCGCUCGCCGCGGGCGUCUCACCGGACGUCGACGGGCUCACGGCCGUCGCUUCUGUCGGAGAACGUCGGUGCCACCGACGACUCGGACAAGUCGAUGGCGAGAUGAAGGAUCCGAGCUGCCUGCACAAGCAACUCUGCAAACAAGCAAGCAACCCUCCACUAACGGAUCUGGCGCCGUCGUGCGGCGUGCGAGGAGCUGGAGCAGAGGGGCUUGGGGGCUGGACUGACUUUUUUUCACCCGAUGCUUCCGGAUUUGGGCACCACCCGAAGCUUUCUUCGACCGGCGUGCUCCCUCCGCCACAUGAUCGGAUUGCUUACGGGACGACGGGAAAUCCCGGUGAUGAGAUCAAGUGUGGAACAACAUGUGAUUUAGGGGCGAAAGGGAAGACGGGAGGGGUAUUGUUUGGUUUAGGUUCUAUAUAUUUUGUACCAACGAUUAUGCACUUAGAUAUAGAUUUCUUUUAUAUCUAUGUACCUAGUAGAAAUAGUAUAUUUCUAAAGUUAAAGAGGUGUUAUAGUUUAUAAUGAAGGGGACAGCUUCUUAUUGCCUAGCAAAAUAGAAGUCUAAGAGGAGAUGAUGCAGAUAAAAUAAUCGUUA